rnacentral:rRNA from 1 species
AUUGAACGCUGGCGGCAGGCCUAACACAUGCAAGUCGAGCGGCAGCGGGAAAGUAGCUUGCUACUUUUGCCGGCGAGCGGCGGACGGGUGAGUAAUGCCUGGGAAAUUGCCCAGUCGAGGGGGAUAACAGUUGGAAACGACUGCUAAUACCGCAUACGCCCUACGGGGGAAAGCAGGGGACCUUCGGGCCUUGCGCGAUUGGAUAUGCCCAGGUGGGAUUAGCUAGUUGGUGAGGUAAUGGCUCACCAAGGCGACGAUCCCUAGCUGGUCUGGGAGGAUGAUCAGCAACACUGGAACUGAGACACGGUCCAGGCUCCUACGGGAGGCAGCAGUGGGGAAUAUUGCACAAUGGGGGAAACCCUGAUGCAGCCAUGCCGCGUGUGUGAAGAAGGCCUUCGGGUUGUAAAGCACUUUCAGCGAGGAGGAAAGGUUGAUGCCUAAUACGUAUCAACUGUGACGUUACUCGCAGAAGAAGCACCGGCUAACUCCGUGCCAGCCGCCGCGGUAAUAC